CUAUCAUGUGUGUUGAGGGGGGAAGAUGUAAAAAGGCAAGCAUGGUGCAAUAUCUGUUGGUCUUUCUCUAAAGUCUGGAGCCACCGGCUGCUUCACUUGGAAACUGGUUCAUUUUGGUUUGUCCCCCUUAACAUUAUGCAUCUGCUGUCUUUUUCCCCUCAAACAGUGGAUGAAGGCAAUUUGUGGAAAGCAGUGAUGGAAACCUUCCAAGUACCAGGUUCCAUUUGUAGCAGAGCAAGUUACAUUUGAUGCCUUCCUCAUCCAUGAGCAGCGCCUGCCCUUAUGUUGUGCACUGGUUGUCCCCUUUCUGUAACUGAAUGGAUGUACUUUCAAAGAGCCAGUGCUUCACUUGUCCUCUGGUUCUAGGUUUACAGUGCUUAGAAGGAAGCCAUGAUGUUUCACACUGGUUCCCCACCUGCCGGAUACUCUCUGCAGAAGCUAGUGUCACCCUGGCCAAACACAGCCAUGCAGCAUACAGCAAGCAGGAUGGGGAUGCCUCCUUGUUUGACCUGGACACUCCCUUUGGAGGGCUAUCAAGAUCCAUUGCAGAUAUGAUGCUAAAAAGGGAGUCCUGUGGCCAGUAGGUCUGGAGGAACCACUUUAUAGUUUUGAAAAACUGACACACAAGGCAUCUUUGCUACAGGUUGCUGAAUGGUGCCUUAUCACCAACCAACCAAUUACAAACACUACUGUGUCACUAUGUCAGUCCCUUUAGCAAGAGCACAGAGCAGCCAGGACGUUCUAUGUCUCAUUGAGGAAUCCAGCAUAAAGGCCCCUUCUCUUUCUCCAAAGUUAAAAUAGAGAUGCCAACUUUUAGAAACACGAAGGUCAAGAUU